CCUGGCAUCGGCCCCGCCCCCCCCGAGCGCAGGAGGAAGAGGAAGGUGACGCCCAUUGACGUGUCGGAGCUCGAGGCCUGGGCCGCCUCCAUGAACGCGCUGUUCGAGGAGGCCGAGCGCUUCCACCUGGUCGUGGAGUGACCAGAGAGACCCCCAGAGACCCCCGGGAGAGCCCCCCAAGACACCUGGGGACCCUCAGAGACCCUCAGGAAACCCCAAGGGACACCUGGAGACCCCCAAGAGCUCAGGAGAAACCUGGGGACCCUCAUGGGACCCCCGGACCCCCCAUAAUGUGUGGGACACCCCCCCCCCCGAUUUUUGGGACCCCACCCCCGUUUUUUCCUCAAUAAACUCGGUUUCUGCCGCGGCCUCGCUGUGCAAUGACGCAGUUUGUGGCGUCACACACCCGCAGAAUUGGGUCACUGUCUCUUUAAGAGCGGGGGCGUGGCCUUGCAGCCAAUCACCGUGCGGCGCGAUGACAUCACCCGCCGAAGGGGCGUGGUUCCUGCCAAGCCACGCCCCCGGGGCGCCCAGGUCCCCCCAAAAAACUUCCCCGGCUCCCCCCGGCCAUGGAGCCCCCCCGAGCGGCGCCCCCUCCCCCCGAGAUGGAAUUUGGGGGGCCCUGGGGCGCGGGGGCUCUGUCGCUGCUCCUCCCUUUGGGGCUC